AUUCGAAUUUAGGGUUUUCGGUAUUUUGAAUUUUGCAUUCAAAAGAAGAUAAAACCCCCAAAAUCACGGCUGCUAUAACCCCUAGUUGAUUGAAAUUUUUCGAAUCCUUUGAUUUGAAAUGCACAACUUUCACAAUCAGAUUAACCCUCAUGUUCCACCACCGGUUCCUCAUACCCUAAACCAGUUCAUACCAUCUACAGCAAAAUCUAUGUUUGAUAUGAAGAAGGUUAAAGAAGAUACUAAGGAGCAAAAGCAAAAACAAGGGUAGUGCAGGUACCUGGAGUGAUGGAAAAUUGGUCACUAAAAUAGGAAGGAACAGUGAUAGUGUGAUGGCACUGAAAGUUAUUGGCCACACCUGAUCUGCAUAAAUGUGAUCUUUUGGUUGAUUCUGAAAUGUUUGAGGAGGAUAACGUGUCAGCAUUGCUUUCUAUCUCGUUAGUUUUAAAAACCUUUACAGCCUAAAAUCUAGUGAGUGGAAGCUGUUAGGUGCAAGGAGCAUCAGCAGGUCUCUCCAACUCUGACAAAAUCCUCAACGACCAUGGGUUUCAGAUUCAGAUACAAUCUUGCAGAGUUUUCACUUGCUGAGUGUGCAUCUGACCUCAGUUGAUUUGUGCAGACGUACAAUAACUUUCAGUUGAUUUCCGGCAACACCACAAGAUCUGGGCUUGAGUUACACCUUCUUAACUCAAAAGAAUGUUUGAAGAUUCUUAAUUCUUUUAAUUGCUUAACAUUGAUGAUUUACUAUAAUGUACUUACUUUGUUCAUUUUCUCUUUAUAGAUUACUAUCAACUUUGGUCCCAUACUGCUGGUGGACAGAAUCUAGUAAUUGGAUGCCUCUUGAGGAAUUUAAAGAACAAAGCAGUUGGACGUUUUAACUGUAGUACGCCACCAAAUGAUGAAAAUUAUGAAGUCCUUAUCGAUGAAGUUAUUGAUAUCCCUAUGGAACAGUUGAAGGUAUUGAUCCCGACGAGACGAUUGAAUGGCCAAAGCAAUACGUAACUCAUGGACGUGCAUAUUCAUACUGUUUUUUUUUUCUUCUUCUUUGUUGUUUUGAACAUGAAGCAACUUUUGUUGUUGAAUUUAAAGUUGUUUGGGUUGUUAAGUUGUUAAUUGAAUUCAAAGUUAAUGUUAA